rnacentral:rRNA from 1 species
UGGGCGUUAAGUUGCAGGGUAUAGACCCGAAACCCGGUGAUCUAGCCAUGGGCAGGUUGAAGGUUGGGUAACACUAACUGGAGGACCGAACCGACUAAUGUUGAAAAAUUAGCGGAUGACCUGUGGCUGGGGGUGAAAGGCCAAUCAAACCGGGAGAUAGCUGGUUCUCCCCGAAAGCUAUUUAGGUAGCGCCUCGUGAAUUCAUCUCCGGGGGUAGAGCACUGUUUCGGCUAGGGGGCCAUCCCGGCUUACCAACCCGAUGCAAACUGCGAAUACCGGAGAAUGUUAUCACGGGAGACACACGGCGGGUGCUAACGUCCGUCGUGAAGAGGGAAACAACCCAGACCGCCAGCUAAGGUCCCAAAGUCAUGGUUAAGUGGGAAACGAUGUGGGAAGGCCCAGACAGCCAGGAUGUUGGCUUAGAAGCAGCCAUCAUUUAAAGAAAGCGUAAUAGCUCACUGGUCGAGUCGGCCUGCGCGGAAGAUGUAACGGGGCUAAACCAUGCACCGAAGCUGCGGCAGCGAACGUAUCACCCAAGACAACUUUACGGAGUUGACGAUUGACGGAGCGAAGCGAC